rnacentral:rRNA from 1 species
GCACAAGCGGUGGAGCAUGUGGUUUAAUUCGAUGCAACGCGAAGAACCUUACCAGGGCUUGACAUCCCCUGACCGCGUAUGAAAGUACGUUUUCACCCUCGGGUGACAGGGAGACAGGUGGUGCAUGGUUGUCGUCAGCUCGUGUCGUGAGAUGUUGGGUUAAGUCCCGCAACGAGCGCAACCCCUACGUUUAGUUGCUAACGCGUGAAGGCGAGCACUCUAGACGAACUGCCGUUGACAAACGGAGGAAGGUGGGAUGACGUCAAAUCAUCAUGCCCCUUAUGUUCUGGGCUACACACGUGCUACAAUGGCCGGUACAGACGGACGCAAAGCCGCGAGGUGGAGCAAAUCCUAAAAAGCCGGUCUCAGUUCGGAUUGCAGGCUGCAAUUCGCCUGCAUGAAGUCGGAAUCGCUAGUAAUCGCAGGUCAGCAUACUGCGGUGAAUACGUUCCCGGGCCUU